CUAUUUGCAGGGUGUUCAAAUACUUAUUUUCUUCACUGUAUUUAGCACCUAAAGACAUCCUGAAAUUUUGUAAUUAAAUCAAGAGGUCCUACACUUAAAUGGUACUAUUCUAUUGUACAAAUGUAUGUACAAAUACAAAUAAACGAAAUAAUAGCUUUGAUAAUCAUCAUUAAAUGUAAUCCUUUAUGUCGCAAAUACUUAAAUAAAUAACAAAUACGUACAAAAAAAAAUAAUGGAAUUUUAGUCCAUCAAUAUUCUACAUUUGAUCACACGGUGAACGAGAAGUGAGCACGUCCAGCUCACAGUUCUGAGGUUCAGGGAAUCCAAUCUCGGCUCUGGCUUUCCAGUGUGGCAUUUGUUUGUUGUAGCUGUAACUUGUACUCCUGUUUCUGUACAUAUUCAAGAAACAUGCAUGCCAGGUUGAUUGAAGACUCAAAAAUUCUCAUUAGCUGUGAAAGUGAGUACGAAUGACUGUUUGUAUAUUUGUGUCCACGGUGCCUCUUGCCUGAAGUUAACAUUCACCCUUGACGCCAUCAUCAGGCAUGGCUGAAAAUGGUUUUACUACUGAAAGAAAUUACACAGUUCGUAUGGCUAAAUCUAAUAUGCGCAGUGUCUGCUUCGACUUACUGUAACUUCCAGUGACGAAAUAUGAAGAGUUAUCCGGAUAAUUUUGGCGCGAGUUUCGUAAAUCUGAAAAAAAUGCCUAUGUCUCGUUUUGAAAACAAACUCUUCAUAUGUUUCCUUGCUCUACAAAAAGUCAACUCCAACAAAAGCUCUGACUCUCAUUUGAAUCCAAUUUUACUUUGACUUAUUUGACAAGCAAUUUUAAAGAUGAUCAUUUGAAAACAUUUAUGUACCAAAUCUAAUGAGAUAUUUUGUUAUUUAUAUGAAAGAGGAAGAGGAAAGAGGAAACAACUCUUAGUUAGAUGCACCACAGUUCUACAAUCUUACAAAUUAAUGUCAUAAACAUCCUGUUAAGUAAAUAACACUGACAGUGUCAAUAAAAACUGAGCAAUUGGUAGUUUUGCAGUGACAAUUAAAAUUAGCCAUUCAGAAUCUCUUUGUUUUAUUGUAUAUGAGUGUGGAAUUACAUGUGAUAUAUAAAGUAAGACUAGAUUAGAAAUUAUAAUGCAUGCAAUCAAUAUAUCUUUCAUCAUUUUCCAUUUUCUACAAAUUUGUAAAAAUACUCCUCAUGACAUACAGUAAAAGUGUUGUUUGUUUUUCUACAAAUUUGUAAAAAUACUCCUCAUGACAUACAGUAAAAGUGUUGUUGUUUUCCGCAGAGUUAAUGCUAUCAUUUGGAAUAGACUCGACUUUGGGAGGAGUCCCGUUUUAAUUUGAAGCCGACCGGCCUCGGGGGCUAAAUGAGGAGCUUUGACAGAAACCAGGACAGGCCUGCUGGUCAGCGGCAACAUCAGUUUUUUCCCAGCUUUAUCCAUAUUUGGCCUUACCACCGAUUGGACCCACUUCCAAGGGCGCCCGUUUGUUAUGUUGACAGCGCUGGUUCCGGAGGGCAGAGGGAGGCCAAGGUGUUCGCCAGCGACCUACCACGGAAUUCGAAUGACCUGAUUUCAGGGUUCUCGGCAAAAAACACGUCUGAAAUAGCCCCUUUUGAGCGGUGUGAUCCUCUGACUGCGGCCUUUUGAGCAUUUCAAGUCAGGACACGAACUCACGGCGAAACAUGAUUCCAUUUUUACGGGUCCUGUUUGUGGAACAGACUGCGAGAGACCCUCAGGGCUACAGUGACUGUUCUUGUUUUUAAGAACUGACAAUUGACUCUUAAUUGAGCUUUUCACUAAACAUUUACUUUUUUUACUUUUUUUCAGGCGGGACGGUGACUCAACUGGUAAAGCGUUGGCCUCACAGUUCUGAGAUCCCAGAUCUCCGGGUACUAUGGUUUCCUCCUACAUCCCAAAAACAUGAAUUAAUUGACAUAAAUUCUUGCAAAACUAAUAACAUUAAGCUGGAAUGAUCAAAACAAAAAAAAAACCUACAAAUAUUGAAGCUGAAAUAAACAAAGCAUAGUAAAUAACAGAGCAAAACACAUAACAAAGGGAAGUAAAAAUAGAAGCUAAAAUGAAUAAAAGUCGAUCCAUCCAUUUUCUUAGCUGCUUGUCCCCACGAGGGUCACAGGGAGUGCUGGAGCGUAUCCCAGCUCUCAACAGGCAGGAGGUGCGUGCAUGCUGAACUCUUUGCCAGCCAAUCGCAGGGCACAUGGAGGAAAACAACCCGUCACACUCACAAUCACACCUAAGGGCAAUUUAGAGUGCAACAUGCAAACUCCACACAGGCGGGGCUGGGAUCGAAGCUGGGUCUUCAGAACUGUGAGGCAAACGCUUUACCAGCUGAUCCACCGUGCCGCCCCAGCAUCACAUGAUUUAAGAAAUUAGUAAACUGAGUUACGAGCUCAGUCACGGAACAAAUUAAACUCCUUAGUGCUGUACUGUGGUUCUCCUCCUACCUGAAUGGUUGGUGGAAAGUGAAGAUCUGAACCGGGACAUCUUUUGGUGACUUGGUACUCCUUUUGCUUCUGAGCUGUUCAAAUUAGGAGCUGUUUUGGGUCACAAGGUCAGAAGACAGGCUCAGGAACACCUGGGGGACAGAGUUCAUCGCUCUGAGAGCCGUUAGGACCCGAGGGGCUCAAGGGCACUCCAACAGGAGGCGAUCGGUGACAUGAUGACGACAUGCUGUUGUGUGAUAAAAAGGGGAGUGUGCCUGAGCAGGAUUCCGGUAUUUGUUGAUUCUUGUUUUAAGAGAAGCGAGCAAAAGGAGGUCCAGAGGUAGGCUUGAUGAAUGUUUGGAUGGCGGCGUUUUGAUAGGGGUAAUUUUGACCUGACGGGGGCCAGGCUCUCUCAUGAAUCAAAAUGUGUCAGCCCGGCGCUGGAGAUGGAGGAGCGCUCAUUGUGGCGCUGACACCCAAGUGAGGGGCCGAGGCUGCUGGGGGUCAAGUGUGACACCUCAUUAGGACGGUGUUGAUUUAGUGCGGCCGCGGCGCAACAGAGCUCCUCCUAUGGGGUAUACGGUGAGAGAGGGGGUGGGGAACAGCGAGCAUUGGACAGAGAAUGGGGGCCUGUACUGCUCCUCACGAAUGAGGCCCGUCAUCGGACAGCUUGCAAAUGACCCACCUAUGCUGCACAAGCCGCCCACGCUGCCCAGCCCCCACUUCUUACACCCCCCCCCCCUCACCCCCGCUCCGUAUACCUUUCGAGCAUUUCCUUCACAAUAACAAACCGGGUUAAUAUCCUUGAUUUCUGUUUGUUAUUGUUGUUGGUGUGUUACAUGGACCCACACCUGGUCAGCCCCCUCCCCGCACACCCCGCCCCCCACGCCCAAACCACCACCACCCGAAAUGAGCCCAAGAGCCCCUGACCUGACAGCAUAAUUCCAACCUUUCACCUUUGAUCUUUCGAUUUGAAAUUGUUUUCUACAACGUCAAGAUGAUUUCUGACAAGCUGCAGUUGUUCUCACUGGUCUGAAGCGUGAGGCACUUGAUUAAAAUGUUGUCUUGCAAAUACAAAAAGGCUACUUUUUACAAGUUUAACACAUGAAAUGAAAUGUAGGGAAUGUAAUACAAUAAGGCUAAAAUUAACACACAAUUGUUCAAUGGUUUGUGUACAAUUUUAAGUAUAUUGCAAGAAAACCAUUUUUUUCCCCUCCUUGUUUUUCGUUCGUUCACAUUGGUCAACUGGAAUUGACAUGGCAACAAUACUAAAAAAAACAUUCUUUGACGUUCAAACUGUUUUGGUGUUUUAUUGUUUAAUGCAAGAUUAUUUUAUAUCUUGUCGUUGUCUUUUAUUUGU